rnacentral:lncRNA from 1 species
AUAGCUCAAAAAAAUUUAGAAAGCAAAGAGGUUUUUCUAAUCUAACUUGCUAAGAUUAAAUAGUAUAAUGCAGUUCCAAAACAAAAAUUGAUAUUUAAAAAGAUCAGUUAAUUUCACCAUAUUUGUUUUCCUUAUUAAGAUAUGGUGCAAAGGAAAGAAAGUGAAGGAAAAAAUAAGUUCUCAGAAAAAAGUUUUUCAUGUCAACCUAGUUCACAGUUUAAAGAAGAGGAAUUGCUUAAGAGUUCAAGUGAAUCUGAAGAUGAUGAAGAAAAUUAUGAUCGCCGACAUGAGUCAAAUACAGAUUUACCUCAUGAGUAUUGGCAAAUACAAAAGUUGGUUAAGUACUUAAAGG